rnacentral:rRNA from 1 species
GAUGAACGCUAGCGAUAGGCCUAACACAUGCAAGUCGAGGGGCAUCACAUGAAGUAGCAAUACGGAUGGUGGCGACCGGCGCACGGGUGAGUAACACGUAUGCAACCUGCCUUCAACAAGGGGAUAACCCGUUGAAAGACGGACUAAUACCCUAUAACACAGGGGUCCCGCAUGGGAAUAUUUGUUAAAGGACAACCGGUUGAAGAUGGGCAUGCGUUCCAUUAGCUAGUUGGCGGGGUAACGGCCCACCAAGGCAACGAUGGAUAGGGGAACUGAGAGGUUUAUCCCCCACACUGGUACUGAGACACGGACCAGACUCCUACGGAAGGCAGCAGUGAGGAAUAUUGGUCAAUGGACGCAAGUCUGAACCAGCCACGUCGCGUGAAGGAAGACGGCCCUA